rnacentral:rRNA from 1 species
UGGGAACGUGCCCUCUGGUUCGGAAUAACUCAGGGAAACUUGAGCUAAUACCGGAUACGCCCUUUUGGGGAAAGGCUUGCUGCCGGAGGAUCGGCCCGCGUCUGAUUAGCUAGUUGGUGAGGUAACGGCUCACCAAGGCGACGAUCAGUAGCUGGUCUUAGAGGAUGAUCAGCCACACUGGGACUGAGACACGGCCCAGACUCCUACGGGAGGCAGCAGUGGGGAAUAUUGGACAAUGGGCGCAAGCCUGAUCCAGCCAUGCCGCGUGAGUGAUGAAGG